ensembl:lncRNA
CGAGUAUGUGGCUAAACGGAGGGGGCAGGCAAUGCUUAAGGUUUCUCAUCAGAUCUUGGCCAGCCCAGAGCUUCGGGAAGCCUGCCAUAGCCAUUGAGAAUGGACAUCAGGAAAAGCCAAAUCCAACUGGAGGGUGCCAGUUAAAAGCUACUGACAUAACAAAUAACUUUUGAAGGCCAGAUAAUGAUCGCUAAAACAUAAAAUUGAAUUUCAUUAGGAAAUUAUUGAUCUUUCAAGAUAAUCAAUGCUGUAAACACUCUCUUAGGCCAACAUCUUCACCAUACCUUAAAAAUAUAAGCAACAAGUAUGGUAUAGAUUCAAAAAAUUUUUAAUCCAAUACACAAACAUAUUUAAAAUAAUCUAUGAAGGGUUCCCAUGGUGACAGAGAGGUAACAAACCCGAUUAGCAUCCAUGAGGACACGGGUUCGACCCCUGGCUUCACUCAGUGGGUUAAGGACCCGGCAUUACCAUGAACUAUGUAAGGUGUAGGACCUUGUUGUUUAUCUAUUUUAUAUAGUUUGUAUCUAUUAAUCUCAAACUCCUAAUUUAUCCCUCCCCCACCUUGGAGUGUGUGGUUUAUAUAUGUCACAAAGCAGAAGAUAAAACUUCAGUAAUGUUUUAAUUAUAAUCCAGUGCAUAUAAUUCAUCCUCUAUUUCAGGCCUACAGGAGAAACAGAAACCAGACAGCUUGAGGGUGAUACGCCAGCAGAAAUACCUAAGGGACCAUAAACAUGAACCAGCCAUAGUGCGAUCCUGAAUGACUCACUUAUUCUCGAGUCCAUCCAGUAAACAUUUCAUAAGCACCCACUACGGUCCAGACACUGUUGUCAAGUCCCAUAAACGCUCUUCAUCUAUAACCUAGAGCAGCUGCAACCCAACCCACUUCAAGAUGCCUUUGGCUCCAAAACUGGAUUCUACUCAAACACAUGACCCUCCCCAAAUUCUGGUCUCCCCUUUGACCCAAAGGUGCCUGACUCUCCAAAUCAAAGAUCAAAGCUUUUCAGAGACAGCAUCCCAGGGUGUGAGGCCAGGCACGAUAAGCUCAUUCCCCGAAGUGGAUGCAGGAAGGGCGAGGAGCAGGAGGGAGACUUCUUUCUGCAGCACCGCCCUCCCACCCUUGCACUCAGACCCCUUCACAUCUCCGCCAGGACCAGGACCCCUCCGUCCAGCAAGAGAGGGUGUGCGAGCCACUGCCCUCCGUGCAGUCCCUCCACCGUCACCCAGUGCA